GAAACAAUAGUCAUGGUCUGUAUAAAAGAAGGUUUCUGGUUUUAUUAAAGAAUUCACAUGUAAAAAGGGUGUUUUCAAGUCCAAAGAAAUUAGGUUAUUGAAAAGGAAUCACAAUUGUGGGGUGUAUGGUAUUCCAGGUAUGAUUGACUUCCAGUCAAUUGGUUUGGAUAUCAAAGGUGUGUCAGAACAUUGAAAUAAGGUUUAUAUGGUAGUUAUCCAAAAAUCUCAAGGUUUGAAGGUUUACAAUUGAAUAAGGUUUCCAAAAUAGAUAUCAAAGAAUCAAGUUAAUGGCUCAAGAAUCAAUGAAUGAAUAGUUCAAGUGAUAGUCAAAGAAUCUGGUUGAUGGUUUAAGAAUCGAUGAAUUAAACAAUUCAUGAUAUGGCUCAAUAAGUGUCAUGAGUGAAUUAGAAAGCUAGCAAAGCAAUCACAUCAAGGAUCAUAUAUAUAUAUAAUUGAAGGAAAGUAUCAAGGAAACUUGCCUUAUACUGACGAUUUCAAAUUUCAAUCGCUCCUGCUCGAUAUACUAUUCUAUAUCCACUUGCUUUCCCCCUUUAUUACGUCUGGCUUCUCUGCUGAUCAUCACAACUAAUUAUCAAUAUGUGAUCUCAUACUAUUCUCAUCAUCUUACAUUCGAAACGGGCUUCUAACUACCCUUCGUUUCACCCAAAUCCGAUUUACGGAUCAAAAGAUAUGUCAAAAAAAUUUUAUAUCAAUCACGUAAACACAUAACAUAUCAAUCAGAUAGCAUAUAGCACAUAUCACAUAAAAUAUUUAAUAAAAUAUAUUUUUCAAAAGGGGUUUGAAGUCAAACGGAUUUUUCUGGUAUUUAUUAUGAAUUUUUAAACAUUUUUCGGAAUUAAAACGGGUCAAAGAAUCAUUUUAUAAAUAAAUAAUCCAUUUUUGGAUACUCGAAA
rnacentral:lncRNA from 1 species